UCCCUCUUAGCUCAGCGGUAGAGCGCAUCACUAGUACACGAAAACUGUAUGAUGAGGUCAGUCGUUCAAGUCGGCUAGAGGGAA